rnacentral:rRNA from 1 species
GCGCGAAAACUUUACAAUGCUGGCAACAGCGAUAAGGGAACCUCGAGUGCCAGGUUACAAAUCUGGCUGUCGAGAUGCCUAAAAAGCAUUUCAUAGCAAGGGCCGGGCAAGACCGGUGCCAGCCGCCGCGGUAACACCGGCGGCUCGAGUGGUAACCGUUAUUAUUGGGUCUAAAGGGUCUGUAGCCGGCCGGAUAAGUCUCUUGAGAAAUCUGGCAGCUUAACUGUCGGGCUUUCAGGGGAUACUGUCUGGCUCGAGGCCGGGAGAGGUGAGAGGUACUUCAGGGGUAGGGGUGAAAUCUUGUAAUCCUUGAAGGACCACCAGUGGCGAAGGCGUCUCACCAGAACGGACCUGACGGCAAGGGACGAAAGCUAGGGGCACGAACC